rnacentral:rRNA from 1 species
AUACGGAGGGUGCGAGCGUUAAUCGGAAUUACUGGGCGUAAAGGGUGCGCAGGCGGUUUAUUAAGUCAGUGGUGAAAUCUCGGGGCUCAACCUCGAAACUGCCAUUGAUACUGAUAAACUUGAGUUCAGUUGGAGUAGGCGGAAUGUGUAGUGUAGCGGUGAAAUGCUUAGAUAUUACACAGAACACCGAUAGCGAAGGCAGCUUACUAAACUGAUACUGACGCUGAGGCACGAAAGCGUGGGGAGCGAACAGGAUUAGAAACCCUUGUAGUCC